rnacentral:lncRNA from 1 species
UGUCUAAAUUUACCAAAUAAGGAAAGAUUCUCAUCACCUAAGUUUUUAAUUGGUCCGAAACUUGGAAUCAUGAAAGUUGUAUGAUGAAUGAGAAUUUUCAUCUUUGGAAAAUUAAUUCCUUGUUCACAUGUAUAUGUGAGUCAAGUGAAGGACUAAGGGAUCGAGUACACAUUCUUGUGCACUGGUUAAGCCCACCACAAAAGAUCGAUAAGACUAUUCAUCGUGAUUUACUAAAGUUUAGUAAAUAUGGUUAUACUUACAAGUUUAAGUAUAAUUCUGAAGCAUUGGAAAAGUCUCGAUGUAUGGCAGAACGAAUGAGAAGAAUCAAAUUUGAUAGAAAGAUAAAAGUUUCUCAAAUAUGAAAAGCUGGAAGAGUACUUUAGUAUCAUGUUUUAUGAUCAUCUUAAUAAUUGUGAGACCAUAUCACAAUUCAUCCUCUAAGGACAUCCUAGUGCAUUCUUAUGGCUAAGAAGAGGAGUCAUGAAUUGUUGAAGUGGUUAAACCAAGAAGAUGAGUCAUACUUCGUUCCAAAACAAGUCUUAGAGUCAUACUCCAAGAUUGUAACUUGAGUGAUACAUAUUAAAGAAGGUUUAUUAACACUUGUCAAAUGUAAGAGUAAAAUGUGUUCUACUCUUCUACAUUUGAAAUUGGUAAGCUGUGAUGUUUUGGAUAAAACAAAGACCAACUAAGGCCAAUUGUGUGAAGUGUUUGUAUUGAUAAGAAUCUGCACUAUCUCUUGAAUAUUUGUUUGUCAAGGAAAAAGUCUUCGCAAGAGAGUCUUAUAUUUCAAGAGGACAUUGGGAGUCUAAAAGAUCCUAAAAGAGUUUCAAGAUCUAAUCAAAAAUAAAACCUGUAGCUUAUCACUAGCACACGACUUGAGGUUUAUAACCUAUCGUGUUGACAUAUUCCUACUUCUAUGCCCACUCUAGUUAAAGUUGGCUUUGCAUAUGAGUUCUAAGAGUUCUCAAUUGGUUGCAUAACAACUUGGAAGCAAUGGCAGGCCCUUGUGCUGCCAGGUAGCAAGAAGUUAAGACUGCACAAGUUCAGUCCAUAUGAGUUUGGAUUUGUCACUAACCUUGUCUUGUGAUUAUGGUUUUGACAAAUUCACAUGGAUAGGAAGACAUACACCAUAAAAUCUAAGUUUCAUACGGUUUCUCUCCGAUUCAUGAAAAUGAUGGUGAGGAAAUGCUUUCACUAAGUGAUUUUAACUAGAUAGCAAUUGUGAUAUUUGCAUUCUCAAAGUCGUUAGUGGAGCGUGUGUGGUUAACCGACACACUAACAUGGACAUGUGAGAAAUGGCAAAGGUCUAAACAAUUGUGACUAUGAUCACGACAUCCCUUUUCAUGGUUCUAAAAUUGUUUAGACACACAUGUGUGCUAUCUUAGGAAAGGUGUAUGAUUUUGAUAAAGUUUUAUCAAAGCAUCUCGUAUCAGAAAUUUGAACUUUGGUAAGAAAGUCAAUAAAGUAUUGAUUUCUAGAAGUCCAGCUAAUUUCUGAGUACAUGUCAAAGCUAGUAGGAGCAUAAGUGUUAUGCUAAUAAUCAUCAUGUUAGUGGGAGCAUGAUAAUUAUAAUAAGUGUUGCAAGUUAGCAAUGUUAAUUAUAGAAAACAAAAGUUUUAAUUGGAAAAAGUUGUUUUGCUAUAAUUAAGGGAGAGGAAAUUAUACUUCAUUUCAAUUCUUAGAUUGAGAUUUUAAUNUAUAUAUAUAUAUAUAUAUAUAUAUAUGAAUUUUAUGUUGGAAUGGUUCAACUUAAGCAAAUUCUAUAUAUAUUGCAUUCACAAAUUCGAUUAUGAUUAUGACAUCCUUCUUCAUAGUUGAAUUAUGAAAACAUGGCAAAUAAAAAUAAAAAAUAUUGUAGCAAAAGACUAAUCUAGGAUCAUGUCUUUAUGUGAGACAUCAUGAAUCGUGUCCCAUAUUCUUUGGGUAUAGGAUCGAUUACAUGUGCUAUAAUAUUUAUCGUUCUAAAUUUUCCAAAUGCCUAGGGCAUUAAGAGGGGAAAAGGUCUAGAAUUGGAUAUGACUUAGAUGAUUAAGCAAUUGUCAAGGACAAUCUGAGGUUCACCAAAUAUUUGUUGCUCAUGGACAGUGGAAGUAUGGUGUAAAUUUUUGGAAAGGACCAUAUUGACAUAUUCUGAAAAGAGGCUACUCUUGUUCAGAAGUGAUAGUCAAAAUGGGAAUAUGGAAAUGUUCCCGUAGGUGGAAGUUAUUCAUUAAAUCUGUGUAAGAUUAUGAAACUUAGUGCAAGAAGGAUGUUCAAAGCAAUGUACUUUGAAUUUGAGACUUCGUUUCCAUGGAAGGAUUUCCAUUGGAAUACUUUGUAAUGUUUGUUGCCAAGUAUUUGUGACUUUUUUCAUAUUCAUUAUGACAGGAUCAAUGCAUAUAAGUUUAGAAUCUAAUAGAUUUCGGUAAAUGGCAGGAAUUUGGAAUUCUUACAUUUACGGUUAGGAUUUGGGUUUGCGAAAUGAGCAUCAUUGGAAUCAUGUUCAAUUGGUCUAUUUCACAUGGUAAGGAUGAUAGACAAACAUAGUGUGCAUACUUGGUGUAUAGCAUAACUAUUGUUUAGAAAACAUAGUGUACAUGCUUGGAGCAUGAGACAACUAUUUUUUUAAUUCAACUAUUGAGUUGAUAAAUUUGAAACAUUAUACAAUGAAUAAUGAGUAAUCAAUAUGGUGUUUAAAUAAAAGGUGUUCUAUUUACUCUCAAAGGUGCUUGGAGCCAUAUUGCAUUAGUAUUAUUCUUGUGUUUCACUUUGCAUGUUUUGAGUUCCCGAGUAACUGGGUUAUUCAAAUUCUCCACAGUCAGUCAUAUGUUGGAAGUAUGUAUGAAUGAAGACUUUCAUGAAGUUGGCUUGUAGAAGUCUAAAGUGUUGGACAUAGCAAGAGUUGCUACAACAUUCUUCAGUGCUCAUAAGUUCUAAGUAUUGGAUUAAACCCACGCUCAUGUGAAUCACUUCAUGGAUUUUAUCACGAGUGAUCAUGAGACUAUAAUAUCUUAUAUUCUUCAAACCUAGAGAUAUGACUUGUUGACUAUGAUUUGUUUAUACAUUGAUUGUGCGAAAACGCAUUGGUAACUUGAUGUUAUAGAACGUGCAUUUAUGUAUGAUUCAACAAGUAGUAGAACAAGCAUGUGAGUCGAAGUUUAUCCAUUCCUCUUACCCUUGAAGGGAUAAAAGCGUUAUAUGUGGGCCCCUCAAUGAUUUAGUGAGGACACACCUAAGUGCUUGGCCAAGCCUGGACUGAUUUGAUUUGUUUAAUUAGUCAGUCGUCAUAAAUCGGAAAUCAAGAAACAACAAAUGGACACAUAGAAUGAUUAUAAUCCAUGUCUUAGUCCAUAUGAUAUAUAGAAUGGAGGAAUAUAUGAUCCCUUAUCUAAUGUCCAAAUCAUUUGACUAGGUCAGAGUUCGACAGCGGCUUUAAGAGCUAGGAUUGCUAGUCGGGAUCUUGGAGUCAUAUGCAAUAAUAGUUUUAGACUUAUCCAAGUGGGAGACUGUUGAAUUAGAUUUCUAAGCUCAUAACUAUUAUUGGUAUGUAUUCGACCCGAGAAUAUCAUGGUCCAUUUGGGUAGCACUUCACCGAAACAAUUUAUAUGGAUAGUCUUUUGAGAAUAGUAUGUUUAUGAUUUAUAGUAAUAUAUUAUAAAUUCUAAUAUAUUAAUAUGGAAUCAUAUUAUGUAAUUAGUAUUGAUCAUGAAUUAAUUUAGUGAUCAAAAGGAACUAAUUAAAGAUGGACUCUUAUAUAUAUAGCAUGGGCCAAGUUCAUUUAGGUUGGGCUAAGCUUGCAUAGAUAGUCCAUGGAGUUUUUUUUUUAACUCAUGGUUCAUAUGGAAACGAAAGGUCAUGGGUAUUAGGGUUUACAUGAAUGUAACCAUAAUCCUCCAUACUAUAUAAAGAGGUCUUUGACACAUGAAAUGGUACUAGUGUAUGAGGAUGCAAGAGUGGGCCGAUUUCUAGUGUGCAUUUUAUUCUCUCAAGUUUUCCAAGGUAUUUUUGGUUAUUUGUGAUUCCACUUGAGGCUUCCACACUAUUGGGGCUAAGCUCUUAAAGAUCAAGACUUCAAGCUCAAUCAAAAGGUAUGUCAUCUAACUAGACUUUUGUAGUAGAGUUGCUUCAUAUUAUGCUAGUUAGGAUGAAACCUUGGAAUACUGAAUAUUUGCAUGUAUAAUUGAGAAAGCACAGAUCCAAGGUUUAUAGGGUUGCAUGUACACCAUAGGAGUGUUAGAAUGCUCAAAACCCUUCAAAUGAUGCUUUAUCCAAGCUAGUGGAAGAAUCGAUAGACAACACAUUAUUUCCUAGGUUACCUAUACUCGACACAGUUUCAUAUACACCAUCACAAGGUAAUUCUUUAAAAUAAAGAACAUUAUUAUAGAAAGCAUGAAGACCACCACAUUCAUCAUCAAAUGUAAAAGUAAAUCCUUGUUUGUACAAACCGUGAAAGGAAAUAAUAUUUCUCGACAUUUCAGACAAGUAACAACAUUUAUUCAAAUCUAAUGUUAACCCACUACUUAGCAACAAAGAAUAAACUCCAAUCUUGGUGACAGGUGAAGCUUUCCUAUUUCCUAUGAUUAAGUUUAUCUUCCCGUGCUCCACAUUCUCACUUUUUCUUAGUCCCCGCAAAUCAGAACAUAUGUGAAUACCACAAUCUGUAUCAAGGACCCAAGAAUUAGAAUAGGGUGAGUUAUUAGACAAUAUUGUGUAAAUACCUGCAUGGUUGGGUUUUACUUUCCUAUCCUUAACAUGUUAGAAGUACUUUGGCAGUUUCGCUUCCAGUGUACCUUUUCAUGGCAAUAGAAGCAUUCAGCCUCUUUAGGGUUGGCAGAAGGAAUGACAUAACCACUUUUGGUUCUACUUGAAGAGGAGUCAUCAAGAUACUUUCCCUUGGUACCCUUCGAAGGGCUCUUCCUCUUCUUCCCUGGAAUUUUGUUGAGUGUGACCUCCUCCUUGUUCAUAUGAUAGGUCAUUCGGAAUUGAUCAUAACAAGAAGGUAAGUAGUGCAGUAUGAUAACAAUAACCAACUCCUCAUGGAAGUUCACAUUCAACUUCAGCAGACGGCUCACAAACCUUUGCAUUUUCUGCAUGUGGCCCGUGAUGGGUUCACCAUCUUUCAUUCGGGUUGUUACCAUGGAGGAGAUUAUUUCAUAUCGUUCUUGACGAACACUCUAAUAGUAUAUGUCCAUCAAAUCCUGGUGCAUCACAAAAGGAUAAAAGUCCUCAUAGGACUUUUGGAGCUCGACUGUCAUCAUGGCCAACAUGAAACAUGCCACUUUGGUAGCUUCUCUCUCAUGUGCCCUAAAGUCAACGAUCUCCUCGGGAGUAGCAGUAGACUCAUCAAGAUCCUUCAGCUCCUUGUCGAGGACAUAUUACGUGUCCUCAUAGCGAGUGACCAUCCUUAUGUUCCUAAUCCAAUCAUUAAAAUUAGUCCCAUCAAAGAUGACUCUCCCACAAAGGUUCAUGAGAAAGAAGGAGACAGUAGGAUUUGAGCCAGAAGCAGCAUUGUUGGAAGACAUCUGAAAAGGAAGAAAGACAAGUCUUAGAUUAGAUAUAAAGAUAGUCCUUAAUAAGGCACCCGAAUGUAAUAUUAAGGCUAGGACCCAACACAAUAUUUUAUAACUUAGAAGAUGGAUGCCGUAAUCCAAGCUAUAAAAUUUUUAAAGGUAGGUGAAUCACGAUUCACCAGUUUCCAACAUGAAAACGAAAUGAAUUAUUAGGUUUUAAUUGGUUUUUGAAACUCCUAGAUUCUUUUGAGAUUCAUUGAACUUUUCAAUGGCAUGUUUCAAUCUCGAUAGUGCCCAUCAAGUUUUGUGACCGGGAUGCCGAGGAUCACAAAACAAGGUGUGAAUAACCAUGCAAAUUACUUGGUACUCUUAAUGUUUAUCACCUAAUCGAUGUGUCGGUUAACCAUACGCGCUCCACCAAUCUAUGAUAAACCUUCAGGCACCCUUUUCCAACCUUCUUAAAUCCAAGUUAGUGUGUCGGUUAACCACACAUGCUCCACUAACGAUUUAAGGAAGGUGCAAAGUGUAAUUUCAUGGGUUAGCACCAAAUUCACAUUUUCCUAAACUAACUAAGAUUGGGAAUUUAUAAAACAUUUAGUUACUAUAUAAUAUGAUUAUACUUUUAAUGAGAAUUAAAGUCAUUGUCUUACCCGUUCGGCUAACGACCAUCCACAAGUCAAGGAAGCGGUGGGUGAGAGUGGACACCCAUUAAGUUGCCAUUUUAUAGGAAACAACCUUAUACCCCCNNNNNNNNNNNNNNNNNNNNNNNNNNNNNNNNNNNNNNNNNNNNNNNNNNNNNNNNNNNNNNNNNNNNNNNNNNNNNNNNNNNNNNNNNNNNNNNNNNNNNNNNNNNNNNNUAUAUAUAUAAUAUUAUAAUAUUAUAAAGUAAGGGUUGAAUUUUAACUUUUAAUAUCCUAGGGGUUGGAGCUAAAGUUUUCUAAAGUGACUUUACAUGUUCCAAAACUUGAGGGCAAGUUUUUCAACUAUUCAAAACUUUUCAACUUCAUAACUUAUGAGUUAAUAGUUUAUUAAAAUCAAGACUCUUCAUUUUAUGUAACUUAUGUGUUCUUAAUGGGCUUUAAAAGAAAGACUUUUGGUAAUCCAUUAAAAACAUUUAGAUCAAGAAUUAAACUAACAAACAAUUUUGCAAAUAAUUUCUAUGAUCUACCAAACUCAUAAGUGUAUAAAUAUUCAUAUCAACAAUUUCAAGAAUCAUAUAAACACAUAUAAAACUUGAAAUUUUGAUAAUAGCCAUUGUAAAUGGAUUAGCAUAAUCAUUACCACAUAAAAAAUAGGUUUUAUAAGUCCAAAACAGUUUAGGGUAAUGAUUCUAGUCCAUUUCCAGCAACAAAACUCAGAAAACUACACUUUGGGCCUCCUACUCGUCGAGUGCAUGAACCUACUCGAUGAGUAGGAUGAAUAUAUGCAUGGACUUGUCGAGUCCCCUAUGUAUUUGGCAAGUUCACUCAGCGGAAUGCAAAAAUUUCGAGUUUCUUCAACAAUUUGCAUCAAGUAACAAGAAAACAAGCCUAGGCUUUGAUACCACUGGAGGGUUUUUGAGCAUUCUAACACUCCUAAGGUGUACAUGCAACCGUUGAAACCUUGGAUCUAUGUUUUACUAAGAUACAUGCAAAUUUGAUUUUUCCAAGGCUCUUAACCUAACUAGCAUAGCAUGGGCAACUUGAAACAUAAAAGCUAGUAGAAGAACAUACCUUUCUUCUUGCUUGGAUUCCUUAAGAACUUUGUGAGCCUAGCAGCCCAAAUGUGAUGCCACGAGUGUUUCACACAACACCAAAACUCUUGGAAAAACUUUGAGAGAAGUACACAAACACUCAAAAUCGGCUAGCCCUCUUGUUAAUCACUUAGUGCCAAUUUUGGUAGCCCAUUGGGUCUUUAUAUAGUGUGUCAUAAGUAGGGUUACACCAUGUAAACCCUAAUUGACAUGGCUUUUCAUUUCCUCCAUGAUCCAUGGGUUUUAACCUCCAUGGACUAUCCAUGGAGCACCCUAUGGGUUUUAGCCCAAUUCAAUAAAUCACGGAUCAUCAACCCACUAUAUAAGAAUGGAUGAUUUACACAAUCAACCCCAUAUAUUUAAUUAAUCUCUUUUUAUCACAAAAUUAAUUCCAAAUUAAUUCUUGAUCAAUAAUAAUUAAAUAGUAUUAAUAAUAUAUUAGAACUUAUAAUAUAUUAAUAAACCAUAAGUGUUCUUUUCUCAUUUUGUCUAUCCAAGUGUCAUGAUGUCAUGCAACCCAAAUGGACCAUGCCAACCGGGUCAAGUACAUACCAGAAAUAGUUAUGAACUUAGAAACCUAAUCCAACACUCGGUUCAUUUGGAAAGUAGAUAAGAAGCAGCAUGAUGUUCGGGCAUAAGUAGUAAUGUGAGGAUUUGAGCAUGUGGAGUAGCUUGAUGAUCGAAAGUGCUAAGUCACUUGCAGCGGGAUUAAAUAUUCCCAGGGUAAUUGAUUUGACCCUGUUGUGCAGCUCUUGUUUGAGUCUAACCAUUGUAGGGAUGGAUCUUCUACUCGAAGGAUAAUCUGAGCCUUCUGUCAAGUAUAAGUAUUCUACAGCUGGUUAUGGUCAGUGAUUUUAUUUUUGAUGGUGGCAUCGAGAUAAUUAGGAUUGGAAGUGUGCUUUUGGUCUGUCAUUCGAGCAUGACUAAGCAUGGUUAAGCCCAACGUGGGGGGUCUUUCAGGAAGUCAGAACAAUACGAAUUUCUGGUUUAGGAAGGUAAAAGUGGUUUCCUUCGGAGGCUUAGGGAUGGUUAUCUUCAUAUUGUGGUUUUGAUUGGGGUGUUAGUAAAGAACGAUUUCGAGGAAGAAAUCUAAUUUAAGUGGGGGAGAGUUGUAACACCCAGUUUUGAAAGUGCUACGUUACUCGGGGCUGCGACCCAAUCAUCAGUUGUCAUAAGUUUUAGGGCCUUGGGAAAGAAAGGAGUUGGCCUAUUUCGGAUGUGGGCGUUAGGGCAUAAGUGAUUCAAGUGUUCGAUUGUGUCUUUGGUGGCCAAGGGUAUAAUUGUAAUUUGAUGAUUUGGUCUUUUAUGGGUUUUAGUUUUUUUCAAAAGGUUUUUAAGGCUUGUGCGUGUUGUUAGGAACGUAGGGUUUCUCACCACCUUAUCAUGGAUAUAAGGUUUGUUGGAAACGGACCUCGAAUGGGGAAGUUAUGGCACUUUGAAGUUAUUGACAAUAUUGGUCCCUAAUGGAGAUAAGUGGCAAGACAAUCCGAUGCAUGAAAGGUGGCAUGCGUGAGAGUACGCCCAUUGUAAGCUGGGGUACGCCCAUCGUAGGAGGGAUAAGUAGACGCGAGUGUGGGAGGCGUACGCCCAACAUACACGAAGUACGCCCAUCGUAUGUUCAGGGUACCCAAACCCAAAUUUUUAGGGUUGAUCCCUAUAUAAAGAACAUUAUUGUCCUUAAAGAGAUGUCUCCCUCUCACCCUUUCAAACGUCCCAAAAGUAGAACCCAAAAAUUUCGUUUUUAAAUCAUUAUUAAAACCAUAAUAUCAUCGCCAUAGUAUAAAAUCAUAAACCAUGUGUCUCAAAAUAUCAUAAUAUCUGUCAACAUAUCAAAAUAUUGUAUCAAAUAUCACAGUAAAUCUCCCAGGCUAAAGAUUGUGGUGUGUGUCAUGUGAUCUUCCCGAGCCCUUCCCUUUGCUAAUGGAAGUACCUGAAAACAAAACUAAAAACCGUAAGCAUGAAUCUUAGUGAGCUCCCCAAACUACCACAUACAAUACAAAUAUCAUUCAACUUGGAGAUACGAGCCACGCCCGCUCUCAUGGAGAUUCGGGCCCCGUCCACACUCUGUUGUCUAGGAGAUUCGGGCCCCGCCCACACUCCGUUAUCUAGGAGAUUUGGGCCCCGCCCCUACUCUUUUAUCUAGGAGAUUCAGGCCCCGCCCACACUCCGCUACUAACAUACAUACAAGUAUCACAUAGACAACAAGUAUAUAUAUCAAGCAAUCACAUAACUAUACUCAAAUAAUACUAUGAGAUUCGGGCCCCACCCACACUCGACUGCUAGGAGAUUCGGGCCCUGCCCCCACUCAGCUACUAACAUAUCACAUAUACUAUUCGGCCUUGGUGCCUUUAACCCGUUCCUACUGAAAGGGAACUCACCUCGCAAGAAUGACUGCUGAAAACUCGAGUGAGGAAUCCUUGUCUGCUGCACCGGCGACUCUCCGGCUACCAAUUCCAUACAACACUUAUUCAAAAUCUAAUAAGCCUUCUUAGGGUAAAAUAACCAUUUUACCCCUGGUCAAAGUCAACCUUCGAGUUUGACCUAGCUCGCCGAGUCAGCCUAUUGACUCGUCGAGUUCUAGAACUCAGACUUCCUAAAAUCAUGACUCGACUCGCCGAGUCACCCUAUGUCUUGUAGAGUUCCAAAGCUACACAUCAUCGUGACUGGACGAGCUAACUCUUUGAGUCGUCCUCAAACUCGCCGAGUCCUAGCAUAGUCAGAAAAGGGACAAGAUGAUCCAACUCGUCGAGUUCCUUGACAACUCGUCGAGUUUCAUGAACAUCAUCAAGGAUCCUUGAUCGAACUCGCCGAGUUCCCAUAUGAACUCGUCGAGUCCCUUGCAAAUCUAACCUAAAUAGUUGAUUUCACACAUCUAAGGCUCCAAAAUACAGAUACAGGUCGUUUCCAUGGUCCAUUUCUAUAAAGUUGGAGACUUGAUGGCUAUGCACACCUCAAAUAGACCUAAUCUCGGGUUAUAGCAACCUCCUUCCAUGAACAUGACCAUUGCUUGGACAAAAACGGGUUCAAAACCUGUUUUAUGGUUCUAGAGGCUAAAUAUCACAGGAAAAAUGGAUUGCUUGGCAUACAACCCAUGGAGAGUAACUUAUCCUUCUCAAAGGGAUCAAAAAGACCCAUAAAUCAACACUAAAAGAGAUCUGAGCUAUGGGAUAUCAAGCUAAGAGCCUUUUACCUCAUAAGGUUGCCAAAGAUGGAUGAAAUCCUGGAUCUUGAUCUUCUGCACAAGCUUGAUGGCUCCAAGCUCUUCCAACUCUCUUCUAUAUCACAAAACACACUCAAAACCUCAAUAAUCUCUCAAGAAUGAAGCUCACAACGAAUUAGGGUUUUGGAGGAAAUGGAGGCUGGUAAGGGAGGCCGAAAAAAGGUUAAGUGGCUCAAAUAGGGUGCAAAACCUCGACAAUAGGGUUUCCUUCUGACAGACCUACUCGACGAGUCCAGGCUUCGACUCGCCGAGUAGAGCAUUUAAAUCCCCGUGUCCAAUCUGGCAUCUAUUCGACGAGUUAGGGCUACCAACUUUGUCGAGUAGCUUUUAAAAAAUUAACAUUAAAUGAACUAAUGUGUACCAGGAAUGUGGCGUUACAAUUCUCCCCCACUUGUUUUAGACUUCAUCCUUGAAGUCUGCUGCAUCUGAAAACAACUCUGGGUAGUGCUCCCUCAUAUCCUCCUCGCGCUCCCAUGUCCACUCCGAACCCUUACGGUGUUGCCACUGCACCUUCACUAGCUCGACCCUCUUGUUCCUCAGCUCCUUCAUCUUGCGAUCCAGAAUCGCCACAGGUCUCUCAAUGUAAUUCAGGCUGUCAUUAUAACAUCUCGUUUUAAAUAGAGUAAUUAAAUAAUAAACUGGGGACCCUGAUAAGUAAUUUUAUUAUUAUUUCACAUUAUCGUAGCCCAAAAAUCAAAUAAUAAAUAUUGGAAUGUUUGUUUCAGGGGUUAAAGAGUAAUAUUGGACUUAUUUUGAAAGGGUCUUGAAUGGUUGGGGUUAAAAGAGCAAAUUUUGGACCCAUAUUAGAAAGAUAUGGUAAAAGGAGGGGCUCUUGGGUAAUUCGUGGAUUUAAUUUGAAAGGAGUUUCAGGAGUCAGGGUUGAAAUGGUAACAUUUGGAUUAGUUUUGAAAGAAUUGGGGGAAGGAGGGACUUAUCCUGUUAAUAUGGGAUAAACUUGUUUGGGGCAUGGGGUAUUAAACCCGUCGCCACAGUGAAUCCUAACCCGAGCGAAAAGCAGCCGCAACUCCACCUUCACCCUACUCCAACACCGGCGCCACUACGCCCUCUCUCUACCGAGUCAACUUGCACCACUAUUGCUUAAGUUGGCAUUCCACAACCUUGUGACUCCCCAAUCGCCACCACCACUUUGCCUGUUAUGACCAGUCGAGGCUAGCGAUGAAUUCUCCAUGACCGUAGAAGCUGGAAAAUAUCGAGAGGACUAGCGGACGAUCCUCCUCCAACCGCCGCUGCGUCGUUUAUGUGGAAGACGAAGCUGCUGAGGAGAGCCAUCCGGGAAGACCGGAGGUACGAAUGGUUUCUUGUGACAUUGCCAGUUCAACUGUGGAAGCCCUCGUCCGCCAGCCAUUAUUCUGCCAUUAUAGCGACAUCUGGGGGUUCACCGAAGGUUAGAGAUGGAGAAAAUAAUGAAGGAGUUGGUCGUGAACCAUCGGGGUCGCUGCUGUCAAGAAGCCGAAAUCGUAGGAUGUAGCUGCCGGUGAUGCUGCCGCCAAGCUCAGCCGCUGCCACCACCGUACGUCCCUAGGAGGGUGGUGGUGUCACUGUCCAGACUCGUGUAUGGUGUUAGAUUGGCCGGAAACCAAGGAAGACCACCAUGGCUGCCAACCAUGGUGGUAACUGUUGCCUUUGUUGCUCUUCCACCACCAGUCGCCGCGUGGUGGUGGCUGUGUGUGCGUUUUGCUAUGUAUUUAGGUGUGUGAGUGUGUGUGUGCAUUAUUUUGGUUUUCAGCAUUGUAAUUGUAACUAAAAUAAUAAUAGAGAAACUCCAACGGUGGUGGUUGCCGCCUCGUGCCGCCACCAGCCGUCGUGUCAGGUGGCGGUGUGCUUGAUUGCGUUUGGACCUCGUUAGGGGGAUGUUUGGACAAUGUGGAAUCAAUGAAACCCUAAUGGGCCCAAAGAAUCCCUAGUGGGCCCAAAGGAGCCCUAAUGAGCUAAUAAGUCCCAGUGUGACCUAAAAUCCCAACCAAUGGACUAAUGGGCUAGUAUUGGGUUGGAAAACCCUACUUAGGGUUUGGAAAACCCUAAGGGCAUAAAACCUUAGUUGUGGAAAUUUUUUGGGACACAUAUGAGAAUUAAUUAUUAAAUCUAAAAUAAUAAUUAAUAAGAAUUGACAAAGUAGCUUAAGGCAAUAACAGACUUAAUUGAUUAAGUGAGAAACACUUAACCCUAAUUGUCAUUUUAUAUGAAUCCCUAAUUUCACUUGGACCUUGAGUUGGUCCAUCCUAUUAGGCUUUGGCAAUUGGAUUAUUUAUGGGCUAUCCGAGAACAAGUUAAUGAACCAAAAUAAGUAGAUGGGCUUUAGGAUAAGGCCCGUGUGAGGACUUGGGCCUAAUUUGGAAAUUUGGGCCAUAGAUGGGCCAUAAUUGGACCUUUAUGAUUAUGUGAAAUUAGGCCAUAUGUUGGGCUUUGGUCCAUUAUUUGACUUUUGGGGUUUGUAGUGUGAGUUGGACCUUGGGCUUGGAACCCAAUUAUUAAUUGGGUAUUGUUUGAUGCUGACAGUUCGGGGAUCUGUCAACCAGAAGCUGGAGUUUUAUCUGUGGGACAUCAGUAGUGUCAGGUGAGUUGUCCUCACUAUACUAAGGGGUAUAAGACACCAAGGCCGGCCCAUUAGAUUUUAUACUCUAGUAGUUAUUGAUAUGUUGAGUAUGAGUUAGUGAUGUAUGCCAGUUGAUAUGCUAGUCUGGUAGAUCUGUAGGACUACCUGUGAUAUUGUAUGAUUAUAUGUAUGUGCAUUAAUUAUGUUACAUGUCGACAUGUUAUGUGGGAUGGGUUGAGGUGGUACUGCUCCGUGCAGUAGCCAACAAACCCUAGAGUAUUCCAGAUAUGAGCUGAGGGCCCGAUAGGCAUUCCAAACUCAUACUGAGGACUCGGGAGCAUUCUAGAUACGAGCUGAGGGCCCGGUAGGCAUUUCAGACUCGUACUGAGGGCUCGAUGGCAAUCCAGAUGUGAGCUGAGGGCUCGGUAGGCAUUCCAGACUCACACUGUGGGCUAGGGGUAUUCCAGUCUGUGAAGAUGUGGAACCGUUACGUGCUGUUCUGUUUCAGUUGCUAUAUUAUGAUAUUGUUGAUAUUGUUAUGUGGAUUGUAUGUGUAUCGGUAUUUUGGGGCUAACUCACUAAUCCUCGGGCUUACACUUUCAGUUUAUUGUUUCAGGUACAUCAGAUGAUCGCAGGAAGGCAAAGGUAUGAUCGUACAGCUCCUCACCUUUUAUAACUAUGUUUCUGGGAUACUCUGAUAUAGAAUUGUUUUGAAAUCAAAUUGGUAAUAACUGUUGGUUUCUAAAUGUUUUAAAAAGUUUAAAUUUGGCCUGAUUUUUAUGGAUGUUACAAGUUGGUAUCAUGGCCUUGGUUUGAGUGAAUUGGAGGAACAUUCAUGUGAAUUCAGUCUCAAAUCAAGGAAAGGUUUUCAAAAUAAUUUCUACAAUGGUUUUCAAAAUAAGUAAAGGAGAAUGCAGGGUGUAUGAUCAGCCAAAUCCAGUAAGUAAACCCCAAAAUACCAUACAGUUAUUUAAUUAUGUGACAUGUUAGAACAGCAUGCUAGUACUAGGCUAGGGAUCUUCGAGAAUUGCAUGAUAGAAUUGUCUGAUUACAUGAUGCCUGCUAGCCUAGGGUUUCUUUUAUAUGAGAUUGACAUCAUUACUGCAGUUGCUUAGUGUAUGCAUCACGGUUAUAAAUAAUUAAGAUCUUAUAUCAUGAGAAUGUUUGAUUUGGCCUUACGUUUUGUUCUUGUUUGAUUGAGAGCUUAGGGUAGGAUUGGAUAUUCGAAAGUCUAUACGGUCCAGCGUUAUGUAUGGCUAGCAUGCAUUAGUGUUGUAGGGUUGGUGGAAGUUUCAUGGAUGGGUGGAUUGUGUGAGACUGGUAGGUCAGUUGUGAGACAAUUAGCCUUCCCUAGGAGUGAGGAUUGAGCGCUUUCUAGGUUAUGUAUACAGAUAGGGUGUUGUGGUGAUAGUUGAAACAAAUAUGGGUAGGUGUGGAAGGUAGUAUGGGCCCGUACUACUGAAAGCACAGAACCCAUACGCGUAUCGAGGAAGUCACAACCCCUAGGGUUGGGUAGGGAGUUGCAUCCCUAUCAUAUGGAUUAUUAGAGACCUUUCUGGUGUCUUACCAUAAUGGUGGUUAUGAGACAUCUCGAGACGGAUCUGGGUUUGGAUCGAGAGUUGGCAGGCAGGAUAGGCCAGUGUUGUCAAAGGAUCAUGUCAGUGAUAUCAUCUGGGAGGAGGUGAUCGAGAUUGUUCGGGGACAGCUGUCGGAGAUGUUUGGGUCUAUCAAGACCGUCAUGGUUGAGUAUUUCGAUGAGCUCUAUACAGCUAGUGUUGACACGAUUGUUGUGGCAGCUAUAGCAGAUGUAACAACGGCAAGGGGAGGACCCAGUCAGGCUUUCUAGUAUCGGGACUUCGAUGAUGUGAAGCCCCGACUGUUGAUAGGGUUCAGGAACCGGUUAUAGCCAUGAGGUGGCCAUCUGACGUGGAGGGAUGUUGCUUUACAUGUUCAUGUUCUACUGUCCAGAAGGUCAGGCCCGCUCUGCACCUGCUGAGGUCUGGGGCGAAAGACUGUUGGGAACUUGUUACUAGAUGUAUUUUGAUGAGCAGAGAGCUGUAGUUACUUGAGAUUGGUUCAGAGGGUGGUCCAUGUUCAUUACGUUCCGCGAAUCGAGCGGUAGGCGAUGACAUAAGAGUUUCUGAAAUUUAGGCUUCGGGGGUUUUGUCUGAGGUCGGGAUUCGAGUCGUAGGGACUCCGGAGGGGAGUGAUGAUUAUGUUCGACUCGGGUUUUGUAGCUAGAAGUAGAAUGAUUAUUUGAUAGAUUAGAAUGUCGUUUUCUAGGGCAAUGAUUUGGCCCUUCCAGUCUACGGGCUUAAAGGAUUGAACAGGCUUGUGACCCUGGAUCAGGUUGUAUUCCAGCUCGGGGUUAGUUAGCCACAGGGAUUAGCGACAAUGAUUCAGUGCAGGUGAGUGCAGGUAGGUCGAUGUGACAUAAGUAUCUUGUGAGAUCCGUUUCACCUUGGAUAUCUUGUAUUGGGUAGUAAGGAUGGGUUGUGAGAACUAUUGCGCUUUCGGGAUUGGAGACUAUGUUUUGGGAAUAGUUGUAGCCCGGUUGGGGGCCAGAGUUGCUUCGAUUACUGCAGUUCAGCUAUGGACAAUUGAGUUGGUGAGUGAGCCAGGGUGCGAGACCCUGAAUGAUAUUAUUUCAAGAGCUCGAGAGCGAUAGAUUUGUUUGGAACACUUGGGAAGAAGGGUAUUAUGUGGGAGUAUUCAAGCAUCAGGGGUUGGACAGGCAUUAAUCGGUGAACCUCUCAGGAAGCGGGAAUUCUCCGAAGGAAUUCAAGAGACAAUAGUUAAGAAGCUAGGAACGCGUCACCAAUUUCCUAGUGCAGUGUGCUUGUAUUUCCUAAGUCUUUGGGGUAUGUUUCCCCUCAAGGGUAGAAUACAAUUUUGAUUCUUAUCGGACUUGUAUUUCAGUAAUCUUCAGGAUAAUCGUGGAAGUUUUCUUGGACUAGUUUUGGUAUUAGUAGAAUCGGAUCAGUCUUGAAUGAGUAUGGGCAGUGUGGCAAGUAAUUAUGGAGUUAGGGAUUCCCAAAUAUGUGCAUGGUAGUGACUCUUCGUGGUUAUCUGUGGGUAUUCAAGGUGACAUUAGAGUUUGGUUCGGUUUAUGUGUGACCAGGUCUGAGUUAUAGUCUACAAAUUGGAUCUAGAUUUUGACUAUCAUUCUAUUCGGGGGUUGUGUGCGACCAAGGGCUGCAGGAUUUUUCUUGGAUAAGCAACUUGUUCCAUAGGUGGAUCGUGCAUAGUGGGAUUUCAUCAUGGUGGCACAGGUUGGUGUUGUAAAGGACGUUGAGUAGGCCUUCUCUUUUUUGGAUAAGGUUGAUAGUUUAUCAGGAGCAUUCCAGUCAUGAGCUAAGGGCCAGGUAAGGCAUACCAGACUCAUGUUGUGGGCUCAGAGGCAAUCCAGACCUAUGUUGAGGGCCUUGUAGGGGUAUUCCAGUCAUAGGCUGUGGGCCUAGUGAUCCUAGUAGUUCAUCCAUCUGUUGGAGCGCUUUCGGAAUGGACAAAUAGAUGAGGUUCGAGCAAGUCGUAAUCGGCUGCGAGAAAUCAGAAAGUUUGUGCGAAAUACAAGGCUAGCUCCCUAAACCUCAAGUUGUGAGUUAGACCUGAGUUCGUAUAUAGUGGUAAUUUGACCUAGGGUAUUGCAUCCUGAGGAUGACUGGACCCGUCGUGGGCAUGCCUGGUAUUCCAGCCCGAGGCUAAUUGGGCCAGGUAUGAGUGUUUGAGCGUAUGAGCCGGUCAUUAUAUGUAUGUGAUUCAGGAACCAAAGGAAACAUUGUUAUGUUAAUCCAAUAGGGUUCAUCACCCAAUUUACAUCUCGUAGUUCAUUAUAUCGCUAGGAAUUGGUUAUCAGAAUGAGUUUCUCUUGAAGGAGUACCUAACCACUUGCCGAAAAGAGAAUUAUAGGCGCAGUGUGGGAUUUUUAAUUCCGUUUUUAGGUGGGAACCCCAGGGUUACUAGCAAUUGAGUAGCUAGUUGGGAGACAAGUGCUAUGAACUCGACAAAGAUUCAGAGUGGGCGGUCUAUCAAGGAGACGGACCAUCUUGAGUCUCCAGUUUCGGGUUGAGUAAAUAUGAUCAUGUAGUAAGGGAUUCGUUUAAUUUCAGGUUUCAGAACCCUGCGAGGGUUGGUCGUGAUUACCUUGGAAAGGCUGGGGUUAUGCUCGCGAUUGUAGCCAAGCAGUUCAAGUUGUCUGGUGUGUAAGGAAAGGAUAAGAAACGAUUUAGAGGACGAAAUCAAAUUUAAAUGGGGGAGAGUUGUAACAUCUCGUUUUAAAUAGAGUAAUUAAAUAAUAAACUAGGAACCCUGAGAAGUAAUUUUAUUAUUAUUUCAUAUUAUCGUAGCCCAAAAAUAAAAUGAUAAAUAUUGGAAUGUUAGUUUUGGGGGUUAAAGAAUAAUAUUGGACUUAUUUUGAAAGGGUCUUGAAUGGUUGGGGUUAAAAGAGCAAAUUUUGGACAUAUAUUAGAAAGAUAUGGUAAAAGGAGGGGCUGUUGGGUAAUUUACGGAUUUAAUUUGAAAGGAGUUUCUGGAGUCAGUGUUGAAAUGGUAACAUUUGGAUUAGUUUUGAAAGAAUUGGGGGAAGGAGGGACUGAUCCUGUUAAUAUGGGAUAAACUUGUUUAGGGCAUGGGAUAUUAAACCCAUCGCCACAUGGAACCCUAACCCUAGCGAAGAGCAGCCGCAACUCCACCUUCACCCUACUCCAACUUCGGCGCCGCUACGCCCUCUCUCUGCAGAGUCACCUUGCACCACCAUUGCUGAAGUCAGUGUUGCACCACCUUGUGACUCCCCAAUCGCCACCACCACUUUGCCUGUUAUGACCAGCCGAGGCUAGCGAUGAAUUCUCCAUGACCGGAGAAGCUGGAGACUAUCGAGAGGACUAGCCGACGAUCCUCCUCCAGCCGCCGCUACGCCAUUGUUGUGGAAGACGAAGCUGCUGAGGACAGCCAGUCGGGAAGACCAGAGGUGCGAAGGGUUUCUUGUGACGUUGUUAGUUCAACCGUGGAAGCCCUCUUCCGCCAGCCAUUAUUCUACCAUCAUAGCGACGUCUGGGGGUUCACCGAAGGUUGGAGAUGGAGAAAAUAGUGAAGGAGUUGGUCGUGAACCACCGGGGUCGCUGAUGUCAAGAAGCCGAACUAGUAGGAUGUAGCUGCCGGUGAUGCUGCCGCCAAGCUCAGCCGCUGCCACCACCAUACGUCCCUAGGAGGGUGGUGGUGUCAUUGUCUAGACUCGUGUAUGGUGUUAGAUUGGCCGGAAACCGAGGAAGACCACCAUGGCUGCCAACCAUGGUGGUAACCGCUGCCUUUGCUGCUCUGCCGCCGCCAGCCGUUGUGUGGUGCUGGCUGUGUGUGCCUUUUGCUAUGUAUUUAGGUGUGAGUGUGUGUGCGUUAUUUUGAUUUUCAGCAUUGUAAUUGUAACCGGAAUAAUAAUAGGGAAACUCCAAACCACCGGCUGCCGUGUUGGGUGGCGGUUUGCUUCAUUGCGUUUAGACCUCGUUUGGGGGAUGUUUAGACAAAUGUAGAAUCAGUGAAACCCUAAUGGACCCAAAGAAGCCCUAGUGGGUCCAAAGGAACCCUAAUGAGCUAAUAAGGCCCAAUGUGACCUAAAAGCCCAACUAAUGGACUAAUGGGCUGGUAUUGGGUUGGAAAACCCUAAUUAGGGUUUGGAAAACCCUAAGGGCAUAAAACCUUAAUUGUAUACGAUAAUUAAUUAUUAAAUCUAAAAUAAUAAUUAAUAAGCAUUGGCAAACUAGCUUAAGGCAAUAAUGGACUUAAUGGAUUAAGUCCUUAAUAGGUUAAGAGAGAAACACUUAACCCUAAUUGUUAUUUUAUGUGAAACCCUAAUUUCACUUGGACCUUGAGUUGGGCUAUCCUAUUGGGCUUUGGCAAUUGGAUUAUUGACGGGCUAUCCAAGAACAAGUUAAUGGAGCAAAAUAAUUAGAUGGGCUUUAGGAUAAGGCCUGUGUGACGACUUGGGCCCAAUUUGGAAAAUUGGGCCAUAGAUGGUCCAUAAUUGGACCUUUAUGAUUAUGUGAAAUUAGGCCAUAUGUUGGGCUUUGGUCCAUUAUUUGACUUUUGGGGUUUGUAGUGUGAGUUGGACCUUGGGCUUGGAACCCAAUUAUUAAUUGGGUAUUGUUUGAUGUUGACAGUUCGGGGAUCUGUCAACCAGCAGCUGGAGUUUUAUCUGUGGGACUUCAGCAAUGUCAGGUGAGUUAUCCUCACUAUACUAAGGGGUAUAAGACACCAAGGCCGGCCCAUUGGAUUUUAUACUCUAGUAGUUAUUGAUAUGCUGAGUAUGAGUUAGUGAUGUAUGCCAGUUGAUAUGCUAGUCUGGUAGAUCUGUAGGAAUACCUGCGAUAUUGUAUGAUUAUAUGUAUGUGCAUUAGUUAUGUUACAUGUCGACAUGUUAUGUGGGAUGGGUUGAGGUGGUACUGCUCCGUGCGGUAGCCAACAAACCCUAGAGUAUUCCAGAUAUGAUCUGAGGGCCCGGUAGGCAUUCCAGACUCAUAUUGAGGACUCGGGAGCAUUCUAGAUACGAGCUAAGGGCCCGAUAGGCAUUCCAGACUCGUACUGAGGGCUCGAUGGCAAUCCAGAUGUGAGCUGAGGGCUCGGUAGGCAUUCCAGACUCACACUGUGGGCCUAGGGGUAUUCCAGUCUAUGAAGUUGUGGAACUGUUACGUGUUGUUCUGUUUCAGUUGUUAUGUUAUGAUAUUGUUGAUAUUGUUAUGUGGACUGUAUGUGUAUCGGUAUUUUGGGGGUAGGGGUGUAAGUGAGCCAAGCUACUCGUGAGCUACUCGGGAUCGACUCGUUAAAAGCUCGAGUCGAGAUCAAAUUAAACGAGCCUGAGCCGAGCUCUAGCCUAAAUAUGAGGCUCAUUUAUUAAACGAGCUCGAGCCGAGCUUCAGUUAGUGGGCUCGCGAGCCUAAACGAGCCUAUAUAUAUAUAUAUAGACAAAACUUCAAAAAUGGUCCUUGUGGUUUCUAAAAAUAUCAAGUUUAGUCCCUAAGUUCAAAAAACCUCACAGAUGGUCCCUGUGGUUUCAAAACUUUUAACAAAUGGUCAUUCCGCCUAACUCCGUCAGCUUUCUAACGUUAAGUGGGGGGCAUUUUCGUCAUUUCAAUACACAGGGACCAUUUAUGAGGUUUUCUCUAUAUAAAAAAAGGAAGAAAAAAAAUAUAAUUAUUUAAUUAAAGGGCCCCCCUUUCUCUCUCUCUCUCUCUUUCUCUCUCUCUCUCUCUCUCUCAAUUUAACCCAAUAUGAAACAGUUCUUGGAUUUGGAAACCCAAGAUCGUCAUCCCAAUCUCCGACCAUCUACACUCCGAUCAAACCCUUACCCAACAUCACCCUCUCCUCCCUUACUCCUUCUCCAAAACUAUAAUUUCCGAUUCAUACUCAACCCUUUUUCCAUCGUCAAAUUCUCCACAAAAAUUUGGACAUGUUCCUUUUGCCUCCACUGCAAUCACUUUCCUCACCAAUAUCAAUCCAAUUCCGAAGAUAACCUCCCGAUGAAGCUCUCUUUAUCUCAUACAAAUACACAAAUUGUCGACUUGUUUUCAUCAAAUCCUCUCCGUAGAAUCAGUUGAGAAAACCGGAGGUGACUGUAAAGAAAAGCAAGUAAUAAACACACACACACACACAACUUAUACGCACACAUCAUCAGAGCCGAAGAAACCCAUGAAUGACUUGUCGGAAUCAGCCACCAGAUUUAAAACCCAAGAAUGCCUCUUCGGAAUCUCUGAUGGGUUUUCAAACCUAUAAAAACAACCCAGAUCUAAUAUUGGAGAUAAAGGAAAUCUAUUUGGAUAAAGGUUGUCGUAAUCUUUGGACCAAGUGUCUAAUUAAAACAAGCAUAUAUUAGGGAUAGAAAUAGAGAUCGGCGUUGUCGAUCCUCACGGCGGUUUAUGUGAGCCAUUGUCGCCCCCAAGAAAGAAUAGAUCCUUGUGGUUUUGAUUCACUGGACCACCUCAUCUUCCGUGUAAUUUGAUUUGUGGUUUGAUCCCAUCUCAUGACCACCGAACCCUUGACCUCGUCUAUGUGGUUCUGCAUAACUGUGUUUAAUUAACACUAAACCUAAAUCUUGAAAAUCUUUAAGAAUCCCCUGAAUCAUUGAGCUUAAUCCAAUGGAAAGCGACAUGAAUCUAGAUGAGCUCAGAAACCUGCAACACCAUGAAUGAUAGGUCCUUGAAGAAACAAAUUUGGGUGAGUAAUCGACAGGUUUUUUUUACUUCAGAUCCAUUUGAUCAAUGAUCAGAGUAAGUGAUGGCAAAUGAAAGACGGCCAAGGAAGGAGAGAGAGAGAGAGAGAGAGGGUGGGGCCCUUUAAUUAAAUAAUUUUAUUUAUAUAGAGAAAACCUCAUAAAUGGUUCCUGUGUAUUGGAAUGAUGAAAAUGCCCCUCACUUAACGGUAGAAAGGUGACGGAGUUAGGCGGAAGGACCAUUUCUUAAAAGUUUUGAAACCACAGGGACCAUCUAUGAGGUUUUUUGAACUUAGGGACUAAACUUGAUAUUUUUGGAAACCACAGGGACCAUUUUCAAAGUUUUGUCANNNNNNNNNNNNNNNNNNNNNNNNNNNNNNNNNNNNNNNNNNNNNNNNNNNNNNNNNNNNNNNNNNNNNNNNNNNNNNNNNNNNNNNNNNNNCCGAGCCCGAGCUUCAUUUUAAGGCUCGAAUCGAGCUCAAGCUCGAGCUUCCUCAAAAUUAAACGAUCCGAGCUCGAUCUUGGUCAGGCUCGGGCUCAGCUGGACUCGUUUACACCCCUAUUUGGGGGUAACUCACUAAGCCUCGAGCUUACAGUUUCAGUUUAUUGUUUCAGGUACAUCAGAAGAUCGCAGGAAGGCAAAGGUGUGAUCGUACAACUCCUCACCUUUUUUAACUAUGUUUCUGGGAUACCCUGAUAUAGAAUUGUUUUGAAAACAAAUUGGUAAUAAUUUUUAGUUUCUUAAAGUUUUUAAAAGUUUAAAUUUGGCCUGAUUUUUAUGGAUGUUACAGUCAUCAACCUGAAUAUCAUGUAGGGUUACCACUGCUGAAUCAUCUACCAAGCACUUCUGUAGCUGGGAAACAUCAAAAGUGUUGUGGAUUUGGUUGAGCUCAAUAGGAUGAUCCAAUAUGUACGUUACCUUGCCCACCCGGGCUAUGACUCGGAAGGGGCCAAUAUACCUUGGGCCUAGAUUGCCCCAUUUCCGGAACUGUAUGACUCCCUUCCAGGGCGACACCUUCAGGAGAACCAUGCCGCCCUUCCGAAACUCCAAGUUUGAACGCCACUUGUUGGUGUUGCUCUUUUUCCGACUCUGAGCAGUCUGGAUCUUGCUCCGAACCUGCUGGAUCCUCUCGGUGGUCUUGAGUACCACCCCAUACUUCGCAUGACCCUCUGACUGACCUCACCCUAACAGAUUGGGGUCCUACACUUCCUCCCGUAGAGCAUCUCGAAGGGAGGCCGGUCUAUACUACCGUAGUAAUUGUUAUUAUACGAAAAUUCCGCUAAAGGAAGAUACGUAUCCCAACUACCACCGAUAUCUAAAACACAUGCACGCAGCAUGUCCUCGAGAGUCUAAAUCGUCCUCUCGCUCUGUCCGUCUGCCUGGGGAUGGAAAAUGGUGCUGAAGUGGAGACGAGUACCCAUCUCUUCAUGAAACCUCUUCCAAAAUCCGGAAGUGAAACAGACAUCUCGAUCUGACACCACCGAGACAGGCACCCCAUGCCGUGCCACUAUCUCGCGCACAUAAAUCUAGGCAAACUUCUCGACCGAUAUUCUCUCCUGGAGCGGGAUAAAAUGAGCGUUGUUGGUCAACAGAUCCACGAUGACCCAUAUCGAAUUUACCCCACGUGCCGUCUUGGGAAGCUUGGUAAUGAAAUCCGUGGUGAUAUGCUCCCAUUUCCACACGGUAAUGUCUAGCGGUUGCAUCUUGCCAUGCAGUCUCUGGUGCUCGUCCUUGACCUUCCUGCAUGCCAAGCACCUCUCCACAUACCAUGCUACGUCCCACUUCAUGCAGGGUCACCAGUAAUCAGGUCAAAGAUCUAUGUACAUCUUCAUAACUCCUGGAUGGAUGGAGAACCUGGACUUGUGGGCCUCAUCUAUCAAUACCUGUCGUACUUUGCCCUAGUAUGGUACCCAUACCCUCCCAUGCAUGGUCAACAACCCACGACUGUCAUAAUCGAAGGAGGCCACCUGGCCUAUAAUCCGCUCACACUUUCGGCGCUCCUCCUUCAGGCCCUCAACCUGCGCCUCUCGGAUCUGCUCCAGUAAUGGAGUAAUCACUGUCAUCUUCGACAGAUAUAUCGGAUUGGGGAUGCUACCGCCUUGCAACUUAGGGCAUCGUCCACUACGUUGACCUAGGCCGGGUGGUAAAGGAUCUCACGAUCCUAGUCCUUCACCACAUCUAACCACUGACGCUGCCUCAUGUUCAGAUUCGGUUGAUCCAUGAGGUACCUCAAACUCUUGUGAUCCGUGUAAAUGGAACACCGAACCCCAUAGAGGUAAUGCCGCCAAAUCUUGAGGGUGAACACCACUGCCCCCGGCUCUAAAUCGUGUGUCGAAUAGUUAGCCUCAUGAGGUUUUAACUACCUCGAAGCAUAACCUAUCACAUGACCCCGCUGCAUCAAAACUGCUCUCAUGCCUACGAUGACGCAUCAUAGUAAACUACAAAGUCAUCUACACCCUCUGGCAAGGUCAAAAUCGGUGCCUCGCAUAACCACUGUCUGAGGGUCUCGAAGGUUGCCUGCUGCUCAGGCCCUCAACGGAAAAACCACCGACUUCUUGGUCAUUCGGGUCAACGGAACUAAAAUCUUGAAGAAGUCCUAAAUAAAUCUCUUAUAAUACCCUGCUAGACCCAGGAAACUCUAAAUCUCUGUUGGAGACCUCGGAAUCUCCCACCGCAUCACGGCCUCUAUCUUGUCCGGAUCGACCAGAAUACCCUUUUGGUUGACGAUAUACCCAAUGAAGUUCACCUUGCGCAACCAGAACUAAAAGUUGAAGAACUUUGCGAAAAAUCUCUCCCUCCUCAGUGUCUCCAGCACCUCUCUCAGUUGCUCCUCAUGCUACUCCCAAGUCUUGGUGUAAACCAAGAUAUCGUCAAUGAAAACUAUUUCAGACCGACCUAGCAUCAGUUUUCCCACGUGGUUCAUGAGGUCCAUGAACGCGGCUGGAGAAUUGGUGAGCCCAAACGACAUCACCACAAACUCAUAAUGACCAUAGCAAGUCCUGAAAUUUGUCUUCUGCAUAUCAUCCUCAUUGACUCACAUUUGGUGAUACCCUGAUCGUAGAUCAAUCUUGGAGAACCAAGAUGCUCCCUGAAUUUGGUCAAAUAAGUCAUUUAUCCUUAGAAUUGGGUAACGGUUCUUCAUCGUUACCUUAUUCAGCUCUCGGUAGUCUAUGCACAUGCGAUGUGACCCGUCCUUCUUCUUCACAAAUAGGAUUGGGGCUCCCCAUGUUGAACUGCUCGGCCUGAUAAAACCCUUUUCUAGCAGCUCUUGCAGCUACGUAGACAACUCUUGUAUCUCGAUAGGAGCCAACCGAUACGGUGCCUCGGCUAUCAGAUCCUCACCAAGGACUAGGUCAAUCCUAAACUCAACAUGCCUCUCCGGAGGUAUCCCAGGCAGAUCCUCCAGGAAUACGUCCAGGUAUUCUUGCACUGUCGGUACAUCGUCCACUGUCGCCUUACGAUAAUCCCGGGUAUCCAUAACAUGGGCGAUAUAACCUGCACACCCCUGCUGAAGGUAGUGCCUAGCUCUCACUGCUGAACAUAGAGUUAACCCAUGAUGUGGCCUCUCACCCUGAAUCACUAACUCUCCCCCAUUAGAAGUACGAACCCUAACUAGCUGCUGCUCGUAGUAAAUCAUUGCCCCAUUAGGGCAUAGCCAAUCAAUACCCACUAUAACCUUAUUCCCGCACAGGGGAAUAGGAACCAGAUCCACUGAAAACUGUUGAUUGAAUAACUAUAGCAUACUAUUGGAUUAAUGUCUAAGUCCAUAACUAUAAUUGGUAAGACUUGACCCGACCCGGCAUGGUCCAUUUGGGUUGAAUGGCAUCAUGCAUUUGGAUAGACUAAAAUGAGAGAAAUAACACUUAAGGUUUGUUAAUAUAUUAUAAGUUCUAAUAUAUUAAUAAGGUUAUUUAAUUAGUAUUGAUCAAGAAUUAAUUUGGAAUUAAUUAAGUGAUCAAAAGGAGACUAAUUAAAUAUAUGGGUUGAUUGUGUAAAUCAUUCAUUCUUAUAUAUGUGGGCUUGUGAUCCAAGAUUCCUUAUGUUGGACUAAGUCCAUGGGGUGAACCAUGGAUGCUCCAUGGAGGUUAAAAUCCAUGGAGCAUAAGGAAUGGUUAAAGUCAUGAGUUACAUGGUGUAACCCUAAUAGCCACCAUAUAAAAGAAUCUGAUGGCUCAAGAAAUCGUGCACUAUGUGUGAGGGUGAGGGCUAAAUGAUUUCAUGGAGUGUUCAAGUUUCUCUCAAGUUAUUCCAAGUGUAUUUGGUGUUGUGUGAACCAUUUGAGGUGUCACACUUGGGGUACUAGGCACUCAAGCUUCAUGAAGACAUUCUACAUCAAAGAGGUAUGUAUUCUAUCUUGUUAUAUUCAUUGUUUAUGUAUGCUAGAUUAGGAUAAUACCUUUGAUGUUCAUAUUUGCAUGUAUAAUAUAGAAAACAUAGAUCCAAGGUAUUUAGGGUUGCAUGUACACUUAGGAGUGUUAGAAUGCUCAAAACCCAACAGUGGUAUCAGAGCCACGGGUUGUUUUCUGUUAUAUUGAUGCAAAUAUUUUAUUUUCAAAGUUGAAAAAAAAAAAAAAAAAAAACAUGAAGUUUGUCAAAUUUUAAGAUAAUUACUUGUUCUUGUGAAAAACUAAUUAUUUGUAAAAUUUGAAUAAUUUGCUUUAUGAGUUGAAUUAGGUCAAAUUUAAUAAAAGAUAAAAUAAUAUGAUUAUUUUAUUAGUUUUAAAAGUUUGAUCUAAAGAGUUUUAUUUUUUGAAACCUCCAUAAGUUAUGGAUAUGAAAAGGUUUUAAAAAAAAAAUUGAUUCAAAGUUUUUUUGGAGUUACAAAAUUUGGUGUUAAUGUUUUAAAGGAUUCCAUAACUUAAGAAUAAGUUAUGGAUCACCAAAAGUUUUUUGUGUUACCUUGUUUUAUGAGUGAAUUUAGAUUAAUGAAUAAAAUUAUGUGAUAGUUGGUUUUAAUCCAAAUUAAUCUAAGAAUUGAUUCUAAAAUGUGUUUUUGUAACUUGUCCUCAAGUUAUAUGAAAAGUCACAUUUAAGAAUCAUAAAACUCAUAAAAAUUGGCAAAGGUUACAAAAAUGAAGAGUCUAGUUCUAAUUAAAUGGUUUUAUGACUCCAUAACUUGUCCUCAAGUUAUGGAGGACCAAGAGUCUCUUCAUUUAAUAAAAUAAAAUAAAAAAAAAAAAAGUGUAACCUUAAUUAAUUCCAUAAGUUAUAAAAUAAAGAAAAGUUAAUUCUUUUAUUAGUUUAAAGUCUUCCAUAACUUGUCCUCAAGUUAUGGAACUUGAAGAGUUUUUGGAUUAAAACUACUUUAAACACAUAAGUUAUGGAAUUAAUUAGUUUUGAAUAGUUUCAAAACUUGCCCUCAAGUUUUGGAAUUUGUAAAGUUUUCACUUAUGAAUACUUUAAUUCCAAGUUAGCCCUUAGAAUUUUAAAAGUUAAAAUUCAACCCUUAUACUUUAUAAUAUUAUAAGUUAAUAAUAUAUAUAUGUAUAAGAGUAAAGUCAGUCUUACCGCUAGUACGCCUCAUUCACGAAGCCGGUCUAUAAGGUGGGUAUAAGGUUGUUGCCUAUAAAAUGGCAACUUAAUGGGUGUCCACUCUCACCCACCGCUUGCUUGACUGGUGGAGGGUCGUUAGCCGAACGGGUUUGACAGGACUAGAAUUCUCCCUUCAUUAAAAGUAUUAAUGAUAAUACUAAGUAACUAAACUCUUAAUAAUACCCAAUCUUAGUUACUUAGGAAAAAUGUGAAUAAGGUGCUAAUCCAUGAAAUUACACUUUACACUUUGUCUAAGUCGUUAGUGGAGCGUGUGUGGUUAACCGGCACACUAACUUGGACUUAACAAGGUAGGUAAAGGGUGACUUAAUAUUUAUCAUAGUAUCGAUGGAGCGUGUGUGGUUAACCGGCACAUCGAUUGAGGGGUAAUUUAUUAAGGGUACCAAGUGAUUUGCAUGGUUACUUCACACCUUGUUUUGUGAUCCUCGGCAUCCCAGUCACAAAACCUGAAGGGCACACUCGAGAUUGAAACAUGCCUUUGAACAGUUCAAUGAAUCUCAAAGAUCUAGGAGUUUCAAAACCAAUUAAAACCUAAUAAUACAUUUCGUUUAUCUUGGUGGAAAUUGGUGAAUCGUCAUUCACCUACCUUCAAAUAUUUUAUAGCUUGGAUUACGGCAUACCUCUUCUAAGUUAUAAAAUAGUUUGUUGGGUCCUAGCCUUAAUAUUUCAUAUUGGGUGUCAUAUUAAGGACUUUAAAUCAACUAUCUUGAAUAUCUCCCAAAAGAUGUCUGGUUUAGACACCUAUGAUCUUCCCAAAUCUCUUGAAACAAGGUUUCCUAAUGAAGAUGAUGUCCCAUGGAUAUCAUACUUCUUUCUCCUCCUCCAAUUAUUCUCCCUAACCCACAAGUUCUUGAAAAGUUUAAGGUCACUCAAGCCCUAUUGGCAAGGCAAGGUCUAGGUGUGAUCACAUCUUGGAGAUGUAGUCACAUAUUGACAAGCCGGGAGAGUUGGGUGUCAAAGUCUUGAGAAAGUUGGUGGUUCAAUCACUUUCUAAGUCACAUAGUGAGUUCCUUUGGGACUCCUAUGAAACAGACUAUGACAAGACCCUUAAUGAUCUUAUCUAUUUGUUAAGAUCAACUUCCUUAAAACUUGAUGGACAUUGACAAUAGUGACACAGGAAAUCCAGAAAAGCAUUCUCUUCCCAAUGGAAAGGGAUCGGCCAUAGUCAACUCGGUUGACCAAAUGGUAAAGAGAAAAGCUAAGUCUGUGACAGUCCCGUGUACCAUUACCAAAGGGUCCAUAUGUUUAUAUUGCCAAAGGAAGGGGCAUUGGUUGCGAAGCUGCCAAUUUACCUAAGGGUGUUAAAGUCAAUAAGUUUGACUCUACUUCAGGUAAAAAUUCCACUAUCUAACUCUGCUAAGUUUCUAUUCUGAGAUUCUUGAUACAUAAUGUGACUGGGUCACAUAGAGAUGUUUUAAGAAUCAAAGAAAAGUAAAGAAACUUAAAGAGAGAAUAUGUUGAAUCUGAUCGCGUAGAUGGAUUUCUAUCGCAUAGUUUGAAGAUCAGAUUCUUGAGCUACUUCUUAGGAGUUAUGAGAUAUUGCUUACGAAUAAAUAACAACAAGUUUUCAUAUGGAUUGUAAGGAUAAGUUCUUCCGCAAAGUUUUCUAAAAUAAAAGGAAAAUUUUGAUUUUAUUUAUUUUAAAAUAUCCUUACAAUGGCAUCUGUGGAAAAUUUUGUUGCUUAUAAGAUUCCAUUAUGAGCAAGAGUGGAAAUAUGAAUUUGAUUUUUUCAUUUGUGGUACUGUCUAGAUUUACCAAAUAAGGAAAGAUUCUCAUCACCCAAGUUUCAAUUGGACUGGAACUUGGAAUCAUGCAAGUUGUAUAGCAUGAUGAAUGAGAACUUUCAAGUUUUGGAAAAUUAAGACUAAUUACUUGUUCACAUGGAUGUGUGAGUCAAGUAAAGGACUAAGGGAUCGAGUACACAUUCUUGUGCACUGGUCAAGUCCACCACAAAAGAUUUGAUAAGACUAUUCGUCAUGAUUUACUUAAGUUCAGUAAAUAUGAUUAUACUUACAAGCUUAAGUGUAACUCUGAGACAUUGGAAAAGGUUCCAAUGUAAGGCAGAGCGAAUAAGAAGAAUCAAUUUAGGCAGAAGGAUAAAAGUUUCUCAAAUCUGAAAAGAUGGGAGAGUACUUUAGUAUCAGUUUUUGUGAUCAUCUUAAUGAUUAAGAAACCAUAGCACAAUUAGUUCUCUAAGGAAAUCUUAGUGCAUUCUUAUGACUAAGAAGAGGGAUCUUGAAUUGUUGAAAUGGUUAAAUCAAGAAGAUGAGUCAUACUUCGUUCCAAUACAAGUCUUAGAGUCAUACUCCAAGAUUGUAACUUGAGUGACAUGUCUUAAAGAAGGUUUAAAACACUUGUCAAAUGUAAGAGUAAAAGUUUUCUACUCUUGUACAUUUGAAAUUGGUAAGUUGUGAUGUUUUGGAUAAAACAAAGACCAACUUAGGCCAAUUGUGUGAAGUGUUUGUCUUGAUUAGAAUCCACACUAUCUCUUGGAUAUUUG